rnacentral:sRNA from 1 species
UAUAUGUGUUCUAAUUAACAAAAAGAUAAUGGCUAAAGAAAUGGCUCAAUUGUUUAGAAUAUUUGCUACACUUGUAAAAGACUCGGUUUCAGUUUCUAACACCCACAUCUAGUGGCUAACAACUACUGGUAACCCCAGUUCCAGGACAUCCAACACUGGAAAGGCACGGUGCUUACAAACACAAACCCCUCCCCCCUCAAUACAUGAGACUCUGUGCUCACAAGCACCCUCCAUUCCCCCCAACACACAAGACAAUGUGCUCAUAAGCACACAUCAUCUCCCCCACAUACGUGGCAACAAGCUCACAAGCAUGUGUCAUUCCCCCAAACACACAUACAAUCAAAAAUAAUAAAAACAACCUUUUUUAAAAAGAAGCAUCAACAAACUGACCAUAGAAAACUUUCAGACGGAUAACAGCCACUAGAUUUUCUCACUUGUAAAGAGAGAGAUGCUGUUGACAAACUGGGGCAUGAGUGGGUGUUUUUCAUCUCUUGAUUGGUGCCCUGAGAGCACUGAAGGGUCGCAACCAAGGCCCAAGGGUCUAGAGGUAAAUACGUGCUACAGAAUUAUACUUCUGUCUUUUAUCUUUCUUUGUGUUUUCACAUAGUUAACAAAAUUAUUUAAGUUGUUUAGAAUGAUAAAACACCUUGUGUUAGCUUAAAUAACCAGUGCACAUCCCUAGCUUAAAUUUUCUUAGAAUCCCUUUAAGUCACAGUGAACUUGGACUGAGGACCCAACCUGUGGGACACCAUUCAUCAGAGGACACAAAGUCACUCUUUCUGCUCCGUAUCACAAUGAUCCACCAAAUGAACUCAUAACCCGCAGGCAGAGAUAGGAUCCAUCUUGCUGAGGCCCCUACUGGGCCCUAAACUUCCUGCUUGCUGUGCGUUUGGCUUGCAGGAUGCAGUUAUGCAUAUCUGUUUACUGGUGUUCUCUUAGCAUGAAACAACCACUUUCAGGUAUGUGUCGGGGACGUAAAUCCACGUUAUCAAAUCACUCCACCAAGUGGAUUUUUAACAAGCCAAUUCAAGCUGUACAUGGGAGCCAAUGUUGAUCUAUGUGCAGGUACUACCUCUAAAAGAGCUUACAGACGGAUGCCGCUUGGCAAUUCUGUGGUUUCACGAUAACCCAAGCCUUUGUAGGCAUGUUGUCCUUAUUGAAGACCUCCGCCUUCAUGAUGUUAAUGCUUCUUCAAUUCUCUAAGCGCAUCCCUGUAACUCCAACCUGAAGCCUGCAUGUAUCUCCCAGAGUCCAACUACAAGCAAGCAGAGAGAAAUAGAAAGUGUUCCUGAGCUCAGGAAAUAAGGAAAUAGAAUAAUGAAAUGCGGCAUAUACUUCGUCUAUUCGUUUUACGAAACACUUAUGUCAACAAAUCUCUCACGCUUUUCGCUAAAAUUUAUCAUUUCAUAAAAUCUUUUCUGCUGAAGCCACCCUUCCUUGCCCAAACCUGCUCAGCCUGUCAGACCAGCCAAUCAACAUUAACCAAAGGUCACUCAACAUAAUUCAGUAUACUGGCCCUAGAUACUGACUUUCAUGGUAUGAAUGAAAUCCUCCCUCUUCCUUAAGAGCCCAAGGCAAACAUAGUAAGCAAGAACCUCCAUUUUAGGCUUCUUCCCAUAUGGAGAACUUAAGGUCACAGGUAGACAGACUAGCUGACCUGUUGGACCCUGAACUUACUACACAGAUUCGUAAUGGCUCUACCCUGUUCCUUGUGUUUUAACUAUAAACAAGGUGCUUAAAGGGACCAUGACACAGCUUUAGAAGGUCCUGAAGAGCAGGGGUGAGGUCAGGGCCUAUGUCAUUGCUGUAGGGAUAAGAAUAGAGCGAUCUUCCCACUUGGGCGAAUUAACCAAACUGAGAGCAAGUCUAUUUCAGCCAUGAAGUGUGGGCACGUGUCUGGAGACACGGCUUUGAUACAGUGAAGCCCGUAAUAGUUCCCAGCUGUGGGAUGCUGAGACGCACGACCGUGGAAAUAUCUGUUAAUGGUGUUUGGGGAACCUGGCUCCUUAGUGAAAGGUGCCAUGCACGUGGCCUGUGAGUAGUUCCUCAGGUAGCACAGCCCCAACCGUGUGAGUCAGUUCGAGCACCACAGUUAGAUCAAGUUUGGGUGAAGACUCCUUGGAGGAUUAAAUCCCCACUUUGUAUAUUCAGAUAUCACAUAUUAACCUCCACAUUCACAAGCGAGUUCUGCACAGACAAACAACACUCACAGCCGUACAGGGACCUGGGCAGUUUCCACAGCCAUUGUUUCUGUCUCAAGAAAAAGUAUUUGUCAAUCUUCUGUUUGCAACUAGUCUACUCACUAUGCCAUGAGCACAUGCAAAUGAACCAGGCUUGCUCACCUACUGGCCUCUUUCCUUCUGUGUCCAACCUCUUACUCCCUCUACUAGGUCUCUGCUCUCACACAGUAAGAGUUACAUUCCUGCUGCCCCUUCCUCAACCCCACAGUACAUUCUUACCACUCUGUUUCUCUUCUUUUUAUAGUUAGAUACUUGAAACAUCAACGUUUGCUUGCCUUGUGUAUCUUGCCCAGUCUGGAACCUCAGACAACCCCUCUGUGUCUCCCACCAGCUCACCAAUCUGCCUCUGCAAAGUGACCCGGCCAGUUGCCAAGCUGAAUGGCCUCUGCUGAGCUGACUGGCUUCGUACUGAGCAUGCCAGGAGAGAGGCAGAAACACAGACCGGGCGAAGACGCACAGGGAGAUGAAACCGAGAUACUGUUUCCACUUCUUCCUACGCUCGCUGUGAUAUGGUAAAUUAUUCGGGGCAGGGAGAAGUCAGCAGAAGGCAGGAAGACAAGGCAGGACAGGCCAGCAGAGGAUAAAAACACGAGAACGCGGUUUUGAAAACAGCCUUUCUCCAAGGCGAAGGCUGACUGACUCAGUGAACAGACUACCCUCCCGUAGAAGCUAAAGAUGACAUGAGUCGCAGAGGACCAUAAUUUGCAAAAAAAAAAAUCAUCGUAUGAAGUAAUUAAUGUAAGCAUGGGUAAGUUUCCAGGAUUAAGACUUUGAUCUGACAAGCAGAAGAAGUGGAGUAAGGCUGGCACGGGUGUGCUGUGGCCUUAAGACUUCAAAUGUUUUUCCAUGCUAGUCAAAAUUUAAUUACUUCUCCCCCACCCUCCGCCACUGACAGUUCCAAAUUAAAAUAAAUGGACCAUGUCGAGACAAAUCUCGGAUGCAUGUAGUGCUUGAGAAAAUGCUGCUGCUCGCCCAUGGACAGCCUGAGACUCUCCUAAUAAAUUCCCUUCCUUCUUCUUGGGAUGGUAAGGGAAUUGAGGGGCAGGGCUUGGUGUUGAAAUAAAGAAACAGGCUCGGAUCUAGUGUGUUUUGCAGGGUUGUUCCCACAGGAAUGCUCUUCUCCUAUAUGUUCUCUGUGCACUGAUCUUACAAGGUUUGGGGGAAGUGGGAUAGACAAAUGCCCUGUGGUCACCCAAUGUAUUAAGCUAAUUCCUUUCUAAGUGCAGGUAGAUUGGUUUUUACUUAGUGACAACCAUCAACUCUGUUAUAGAUUAAUGAGGGUUUGAUAGCCCAGUUGGACCUCGUACGGCCACACAUUUGCUAUCAUUGUAACAGAGGCGGCUCCUUGUCACCUGAGGCAAGGAAGCAAUUCACUCGACAUGAGUCUGUCCUCUUCAAGACGAGGCCUGGGGAGUCCCGGAGACCUGCCUUCUCAUCUCUGCAGCUCUGAAGCAUUUGCUGAGCAUUCCCACCUUCCCAAAACCCAUCGUUUAGAGAACUCGCUUGUCAUUGGCUUCUUGUUUUGAAGUCCCAGUUCCUGGUAUUUUCCUCAGACUCAUUGUACCUCUCAAGACUGAGUGGGAAAGUAUCAGGCAGGCACCAUGGCAGUAAACAGGAAGCCAGUGGCCCCUUGGAACCAUGAAUGCUGCCCUCUGUGUUUGGUCUUGGGAAGUAGAGAUAAGAAGGUACACAAAUUCGGUCAUGUGUCUGUGGCAAUUCAAACAAAUAAUGAGUCUCACAAAUAGGAAACCAUAAGCACUCAGACACACUGGAAUUAAUGAAGAACUCUUUUCCUAGUGAUGCCACUCUGGCUUGAGAAAAUUACCUGGAAGCUUCCGGUAGUCACAGCGAACCAACAGUGAGGAGCGUCUCUGCUGUUCUUGUCAUCAGUUCCUUCUCCAUCCAGAGCUGUUUCAGAAAAUCCGCUCUAGCCUCCUCCAACCUGUCUGUACAGAGGCCAAUUCUACCUUCAUGCUGAGGAUCAAAGCAAGAAUGGGGGAGAAGAAGCCGGACGGUUCCUCACAACUGGAGCCUUCCUUUUGUCCUUGCCUAGACUCCCGAGAAGGCAGGGAGCCACAGGUCCUUCCAUCCCUUGGCUUCUCAUUCCAUCCCUCACAAGCCACUGCCACCCUCCCCUGAGCUCUGAGAGCACAGCUUUGCAUGUCUUCACGACUGGCUGAGUCACCUUUGGACACCAGCAAGGCUGUACCAUGUCUGAGUCGAUCCUGCGUGCUUCUCCACAGGUCCCUUCAAUACACUCUGGAGCACCGCCGCUAUCAGCAGCACGGCAGUUCCUUCCAACUCUAGUGUGAGACACGGUCUGUCCCCAUACCUUUCUAGAAGACCUAGGUGACCUUGUUUCCAUCUAUUCAGUGGACAGUUUGCCUAGUCUUGUGGCAUUGUCAACGUAAUCCUAAAUGCUCUGACACUAGACCUCGAUGAAAACCAAGGUCUCUGUGCUUCGUCACAACAUUGGCUAAUCUCACGACUCCUUGUCUUCUCCCUCAUGUGUUGGGAAUUCUAGUAAUUUGUCCUUCUCUGUGGUUUCUGGAAUUACAGCAACAAUUUCUAAAUCAAAUAAGACAUACUAUGUUGAGAUUUUGACUACAUUCGUAUUGAAUUUAGAGAUUCAAUAUCGUUUCAUUUUUUUUUGUAAUGUUAGCCCAACGACCUAAAACCAUCCUUUCCGUGGACUUCCCAGCUUCCUCUCUGAGCUCUCUUCCGAGACAAUCUUCGAAAGCAUCGCUGUUGCGCCCUCCAUACCUGGGCACGCUGGGCACCCAGGAUCUUCUUUCUGACUCGUGAACCACAAUAAGGCUGUAAGACAGGAACUGAGCUCUUACCUCAUGGUGGAGCUAGCAGGACAGGGUGGAGGCAGUGGAGAUCAGGCAUGGCAGCCACUGAGGUGGCAGGGAGAUGCAGAUCAUGGGGCCAGGCUCGUGGGAUAUCACUAAGUUGGAUGGCCAGCAUGACCAGGUAGCAAGGACGCCAACACCUUAUCUUCACCAACCACUGCCCAUAAGAGCUAACAACAACAGGAAGAGAGCAGGAUACACGGAGAACUCUUAAAACACUGUCCUAAGACCCAACAGCUCUCUGCUAAGCCUAUAAAUGAUGAGUGUGUGGUGCUCACAGCCUCAGGCUGUCUGCCCUUACCCAGGCUGCAUGACUUUCCUUCCUCCAAAGCAGCAAGCCGUUCCUGCAAGCAAACGGCAAAUGUGGGACCUGGGUGUGCACCAGUGAAGAAGGUAUUGUUCGUGGUCACAGUAUCACCCGGAGACGCCUGGGAACCAAACAGCGAUGCUGGUUUGUAUAGAGGGAGCAGAGAUGCUGGUUUGUAUAGAGGGAGCAGAGAUGCUAGGGAGGCCUGUGGGAGGUAAGGGGGUGCCGAGCAAUGCAGGUUAUUUGGUUUUAUUUGUUAGCUUCCUGUCUAAACUGUUGGCUGCAAAAAUUCCCCAAUUACAUUACGUGUCAGGGAACCUUGAUACACCUUAUGAUAUCCCUGGCAGCGUCUAGCUUUACUUAGCUUUUAAGUUGCUUUCCCCAGAAAAGUUUUCUUCAUGGCCUGCAGCACCAUGUCAUUUUGAGGACCAAAAUCUACAGAGUUUGCACUGAGAGGGAGCACACGAAUAGAGAAAGUGACUCCAAGCAGCCUGAGUGAAGACAAGCCCUACAGUGAGCUCCUCUCGGUUCGAGUAUUUUAGAAUUGUUUCUACAAAGAAAAUGUCUC